rfam:Vigna angularis cultivar Jingnong 6 chromosome 7, whole genome shotgun sequence.
AGAGGUUCUACAGGGUCGUCCUGAGAACACAUGAAACGUAUUCAGAAUAUUUGACUCAUGUGUUCUCAGGUCGCCCCUGCUGGACUUUU